rnacentral:misc_RNA from 1 species
GAUGAAGAACACAGCAAAAUGCGAUAAGUAAUGUGAAUUGCAGAAUUCAGUGAAUCAUCGAAUCUUUGAACGCACAUUGCGCCCGCUGGUAUUCCGGCGGGCAUGCCUGUUCGAGCGUCAUUUCAACCCUCAAGCCCCCGGGUUUGGUGUUGGGGAUCGGCUCUGCCCUUCUGGGCGGUGCCGCCCCCGAAAUACAUUGGCGGUCUCGCUGCAGCCUCCAUUGCGUAGUAGCUAACACCUCGCAACUGGAACGCGGCGCGGCCAUGCCGUAAAACCCCAACUUCUGAAUGUUGACCUCGGAUCAGGUAGGAAUACCCGCUGAACUUAAGCAUAUCAAUAAGCGGAGGA